UCCGGAUUUGUUCUACAUGUAACCAAAGUGAAAAUGACACAAAUGUAGUGCUGAAACGCUGAUCAAAGCGCUUUGGUGACGUCACGCCGCUCCCGUCAAGCGCGACCGUGACCGUGAAGCUUCUUCACUUCUUCAGAUUCACACACCCUCACGCGCUCAGAAGUCACUCAGGCAGCGCUGCUGUGCUCUGCUACGGCUCCUCAAACCACUGUCGGACUCUAAGAAACCUCUCUGAAAUCUUCCGUCUCCUUUUACGAGGUCACUGGAUGAUUUAUCUCAAAGUGAAGGCAGAAGAGAUGUUGAGUGGCUGGUGGAAGGUGACAGACAUCGAGGAGUUACGCUCCCUAGAGAAAGCGUGGCAUUCCCGAGGGAUCUGAGAGAAACCGCUGCAGAAACACAUGGGUUACAUGGGGCAGGUCUGCAGCAGGAACAGAAAGUUUUCAGAUGGCGAGACAAUCAAGUUUGGAUGGGCCUCUGGUGGGCUGGAUAACAGACUGAGGAUAUGGAUUAUUUCCCAGCAUGCAACAGCAGUCUUCUGCUGUCCUCUGAUGUGUGCAGUUCUCAUUUGAUGGACAGCUGCUCAUCUCUGGUUUGUCCAGCAGGUGGAUCUGUGGUGUCAGGUUCUGAUCUCAGUGUAUGAUACAGCAUUACAUAAAAAAUAAAUCCAUAACCUGCUGGAUCUGAACAGAUUUAAAGAACAACAGUCUGUCUGGGCUCAGAUGCUAGUUAUAUGACACGGAAGGAAGUCCCUGGGUCACUCCAGAACACUGCUCAGCGAUUGGUCAGAGGAGGAUGUGAGCGAGUGGCUCCGUGAUGAAGGAUUUGAAGCUCUGAUGGACACGUUAUCAUCUUAAACACAGAGACACUGAACACUGAAGCAAACACUGAACAGCUUAGAAACCAUGUAGCAUUCAAAUGAUACUUUCACUCCUGAAGAAGAGCGUCAUGGACACCUAAAUAUGAUUAUCUUUGAGCAAGGGACCCCCAUUCUAAAAUGUAAAAUGUAAAUAUUUAUGUAUUAAAAAAUAAAUAAUAUAAUGAAUAUUCGUAUUAUUUAGAAAAUAUGUAAGUUCUGCCACAUAUUAAUUUUUUUAAUCUAUUCUCUAUAGUACUGCACUGUUAAGAUGUAUUAUGUAGAUGUCAAUUUUAUU